GAAGAACCCCUCGAAGAGGUCCACGCCAGCCUCCACGCACGCCAGCACCUCGUCGGGCCGACCCACGCCCUGCAGAAGCCUGAAACCGCAGCCAACGACAGCAACAUGGGUAAAAAAAAAAAAAUCAGCCAGAUACAAGGUUGUUUUGGAAGGGAUCAGUCACCGACCGUGUAGCGGUGCGCACGCCUGACUUCGGUGCGGGCAGCGUGGGAUCGAUUCCCGCUCAGUGAUGGUGUCGACUGGCGACCAGUUUGGGGUAUAAUCCGCCCCUUGCCCAAAGUUGGCUGGGAUAGGCGCCAGCAUUCCCUUGUGUGGAUAAGCAGCUUGGAAAGUAGAUGGAUGGAUGUUUUGGUGGGUCGAACAGAUUCAUGGAGUUUCCAAUCAUUUCGACGGGGAAAGAUGAUUUGUGAUACAAGACAGGCACCGUCACGGACCAAUCUAAACUUACGGUCUUAAUGCUCAUUUUCUAGGAACUGAGCUUUCAAUGACACCUCAUUAGUGCGCCCUUUUCAACAUGACCCAGGGGUCCGUCGACUUCUUUCUUAUUCCAAUCGGGACCUCAAUUCGUCAGGUGAGAAAACCAGCCGGGCUCAC